rnacentral:rRNA from 1 species
AUUGAACGCUGGCGGCAGGCCUAACACAUGCAAGUCGAGCGGAUGAAGGGAGCUUGCUCCUGGAUUCAGCGGCGGACUGGUGAGUAAUGCCUAGGAAUCUGCCUGGUUGUGGGGGAUAACGUCCGGAAACGGGCGCUAAUACCGCAUACGUCCUGAGGGAGAAAGUGGGGGAUCUUCGGACCUCACGCUAUCACAUGAGCCUAGGUCGGAUUAGCUAGUUGGUGGGGUAAAGGCCUACCAAGGCGACGAUCCGUAACUGGUCUGAGAGGAUGAUCAGUCACACUGGAACUGAGACACGGUCCAGACUCCUACGGGAGGCAGCAGUGGGGAAUAUUGGACAAUGGGCGAAAGCCUGAUCCAGCCAUGCCGCGUGUGUGAAGAAGGUCUUCGGAUUGUAAAGCACUUUAAGUUGGGAGGAAGGGCAGUAAGUUAAUACCUUGCUGUUUUGACGUUACCAACAGAAUAAGCACCGGCUAACUUCGUG